GGGGAUUUAGCUCAGCGGCAUAAGCGCCUGCCUUGUAAGCAGGCAAUCGCCAGUCGCCA
rnacentral:tRNA from 1 species